AAUGAACGCUGGCGGCAGGCCUAACACAUGCAAGUCGAACGGAUCCUUCGGGAUUAGUGGCGGACGGGUGAGUAACGCGUGGGAACAUACCCAAAGGUACGGAAUAGCCUCGGGAAACUGGGAGUAAUACCGUAUGUGCUCGAAAGAGGAAAGAUUUAUCGCCUUUGGAUUGGCCCGCGUUGGAUUAGGUAGUUGGUGGGGUAACGGCCUACCAAGCCGACGAUCCAUAGCUGGUUUGAGAGGAUGAUCAGCCACACUGGGACUGAGACACGGCCCAGACUCCUACGGGAGGCAGCAGUGGGGAAUCUUAGACGAUGGGGGAAACCCUGAUCUAGCCAUGCCGCGUGAUCGAUGAAGGCCUUAGGGUUGUAAAGAUCUUUCAGGUGGGAAGAUAAUGACUGUACCACCAGAAGAAGCCCCGGCUAACUCCGUGCCAGCCGCCGCAGUAA
rnacentral:rRNA from 1 species